rnacentral:rRNA from 1 species
AGUGAAUGCUGGCGGUAGGCCUAACACAUGCAAGUCGAACGGCAGCACAGUAAGAGCUUGCUCUUACGGGUGGCGAGUGGCGGACGGGUGAGGAAUACAUCGGAAUCUACUUUUUCGUGGGGGAUAACGUAGGGAAACUUACGCUAAUACCGCAUACGACCUACGGGUGAAAGCAGGGGAUCUUCGGACCUUGCGCGAUUGAAUGAGCCGAUGUCGGAUUAGCUAGUUGGCGGGGUAAAGGCCCACCAAGGCGACGAUCCGUAGCUGGUCUGAGAGGAUGAUCAGCCACACUGGAACUGAGACACGGUCCAGACUCCUACGGGAGGCAGCAGUGGGGAAUAUUGGACAAUGAGCGCAAGCCUGAUCCAGCCAUACCGCGUGGGUGAAGAAGGCCUUCGGGUUGUAAAGCCCUUUUGUUGGGAAAGAAAAGCAGCAGGUUAAUACCCCGCUGUUCUGACGGUACCCAAAGAAUAAGCACCGGCUAACUUCGUG